GCUGAGUGUUGUGGUAAGUAUUCCCUCCUGUCAUGCGGGUGACCCGGGUUCGAUCCCCGGCAACAGCG
rnacentral:tRNA from 1 species